UACGUAGGGUGCAAGCGUUAAUCGGAAUUACUGGGCGUAAAGCGUGCGCAGGCGGUUAUGUAAGACAGGUGUGAAAUUCCCGGGCUUAACCUGGGGGCUGCAUUUGAUACGUGUUGUCUUGAGUUCGGAAGAGGGUCGUGGAAUUCCCAGUGUAGAGGUGAAAUUCGUAGAUAUUGGGAAGAACACCGGUGGCGAAGGCGGCGACCUGGUCCGACACUGACGCUGAGGCGCGAAGGCGUGGGGAGCAAACAGG
rnacentral:rRNA from 1 species